rnacentral:rRNA from 1 species
AUUGAACGCUGGCGGCAGGCCUAACACAUGCAAGUCGAGCGGAUGAAGGGAGCUUGCUCCUGGAUUCAGCGGCGGACGGGUGAGUAAUGCCUAGGAAUCUGCCUGGUAGUGGGGGAUAACGUCCGGAAACGGGCGCUAAUACCGCAUACGUCCUGAGGGAGAAAGUGGGGGAUCUUCGGACCUCACGCUAUCAGAUGAGCCUAGGUCGGAUUAGCUAGUUGGUGGGGUAAAGGCCUACCAAGGCGACGAUCCGUAACUGGUCUGAGAGGAUGAUCAGUCACACUGGAACUGAGACACGGUCCAGGCUCCUACGGGAGGCAGCAGUGGGGAAUAUUGGACAAUGGGCGAAAGCCUGAUCCAGCCAUGCCGCGUGUGUGAAGAAGGUCUUCGGAUUGUAAAGCACGUUAAGUUGGGAGGAAGGGCAGUAAGUUAAUACCUUGCUGUUUUGACGUUACCAACAGAAUAAGCACCGGCUAACUUCGUG